GGGUCACUUAGAUGCCAAUUUCACUGUUUCAUCAGCUUUGGAAUUCUGUACUCAUGAAUCCACUCUCAACUACUAAACUAUUUCUGAAGAUCUCACCUUUAGAAACGUACAAAGCAUGCCGUUAAAUAAAGUUGGACGACAAGAAGUUAGACCUUUCUCGAAUGUUCAAUGCUGUGUCUCAUAUUUAAACUCCUGAUUUCUAUGUGUAUAUCAGAAUAUAACUAUACUAAAGGUCCAAGUCUGGUGCUGAGAGCAUCCUCCAUCACUCUCCACCUUACUUUGUGGUGGUACGGUCUCCCAGAUGAACCCACAGCUCACCAUUUCAGUUAGCCUUGCUAGUCAGCUUGCUCCAAGGAUCCCAUCCAUCUCCACCUUCGGAGGCCGAAAUCGACUGAACUGACAACCAGAAAGCCUGCAUAGAACUGAUCUAGUUCCUCUGCGCGUAUGUUACAGUUGUGUAGCUGGGUGUUCUUGUGGGAGCAGGGGCUUUACAAUGUAAUUUUGUGUGGUAUUUGUCAAACUAUACAUUUUAUAUUUCUAUUGCUGGGCAAACCCAAAUACAUUAUGUCUCACAAAGAGUUGCCUCUUAAUAAUUAUAUGUUGAAAACAUUUUCUCGGGUUUCCUGGAAAUUUUUCAAAAUAUAUGAUUGUAAUAAUUCA